UUUUCACUAGCGACCUUCUUCAGGUCAAAACGUUUGAAGUUGUAACGUCUGUAGUCAGUUGAUGUCUGUAUCACAUCGUCUUUGCGUCUUCCAAUAUUCAAUUCGUUCAAACAAUGAAGCGUUAAUUGUUAGGAAAGGUUCGCGGGAAAUAGAAGGACGCAGUCGACCGAAAAAGAAAAAACUACUGAAUCGUUAUAUGAUCGAGCGCGAAAUGGCACGUACUAGUAGUGCCUCCUCGAAAAAGUUAAAAAUAAGUUUAGUGGAUGUGCCAAUAGACGCAGAUCAUGGAUACCGCAUAAUAAACUCUUCAACAUUAUUUUCAACUCUCAGUGACAUGAUAAAAUGCAAAUCAUGCAACGGAAAUAUUUCAUUCAGAGAAGCAACCAUUCGCGGACUUGGAUUCAAAUUAGUCAUCACAUGUGAUAAAUGUGAACCGCGAUAUAUAAAUUGUUGUCCGCUUAUCGAUCACGCGUAUGAAAUAAAUAGACGAUUUGUUUUUGCAAUGAGACUUCUUGGUGUUGGUUACGAAGGCGCGAAAAAAUUUUGCGGUAUCAUGGAUUUUCCAAACAUUUUCAGAAAGGAGGUAUAUUACGAAAUUCUGACAAAUAUUUAUUGCGCGACGAAGACUGUAGCUGAUACAACAUUUUCCGAGGCAGCCGUUGAAGAGAAACAAUUGACGACAAAUGCAGAAAGAACAGAGCCGGCAGGUCUUACAGUUUCAGGAAAUGGAACCUGGAUGAAACGAGGUUUUUCAUCUUUACAUGGAGUUGUAACGUUAAUUGGUCAUUACUCUGGACAAAUAAUAGAUGUAAAUAUCAAGUCGUUGUACUGCGAACAGUGCGACCAUUCGAGCCAAAAUUUGGAUAUAGAAGAAUAUGAAACAUGGAAAGAAUCACAUAAAAAUGAGUGUUCCAUCGACCAUGAAGGAAGCACGGGAAAAAUGGAAGUGGACGGAGCGAUAGAAAUGUUCGCGAGAUCUAAAGACUUACAUGGCGUGAAAUAUUUAUCUUACACUGAUCACGGCGAUGAUAAAACGUUCAAAGGCAUUGUUGAAUCGCAACCUUAUGGUGAAGAUGUUAGAAUUACAAAAAAAGAAUGUUUUACACAAAAUAUAAAUAACGAGAGCAUUAAUUCGCUUAUUUGGUCGAUUGCGCCUAAACAAAUAUUUAGUGGCAAGAAAAUUCUUAAAAUUGCCACGUAUAUUGCGGCAAAUAUUUUCAAUAAAGGCUAUAAAAGUAUUCUUUUAAUGAUGGCUAUGCUAAAUCUGACAAUUGGAACAAAUGCGGCUGUAAUAUGUGAACAACUUGACACGACACGAGUGUCCCAAAGCGAGGCGAAGAUGGUUGCGGCAUCUAAAGGUCGAAUUAAACGACAGAGGGAUAAAGUAGCCUCGGAUGAGCAGGAAGAUUCUUUCGAUGAAGCAGAAAUGGACGAUUAGCGAUAAGAUGCAAAAAACUGUACGAUAUUAAGUCAAACUUUAAACGUGUUUAUUUCGAAACCAUGUUUUUUGAAACGGAUAACCAAAAUGACGGAAUCAUGUACGUACACCGUUUACCGAUGCACAAUCACGUUUUACGCGGAUUGAUACAUUUCCUCGGAAGAUAUUUCUUAAUAAAAUUUGCGACAUAACAAGUUCAAUAUAUGUAUUAAUAAAGUGCCAAAUUAGAAGUGGAUCGUAUUUAUACUUUUCCCGCAAUCCAUGUUAAAAAAAUCUUUAUUUUUUCAGGUUGGUCAAAAUGUAUUUCCCCCUUAAUUCGUAAUUUUUUGUUAUAUA